rnacentral:rRNA from 1 species
CAAUAGCGUAUAUUAAAGCUGUUGCGGUUAAAAAGCUCGUAGUUGGAUUUCUGUCAAGUACAACUGGUCCGCCCUCCGGGUGAGCACAUAGUUUGGUCUUGGCAUCUUGCUGGAAAUUGUUGCUGCACUUGGCUGUGUGGCGCAGUGUCCAGCACUUUCACUUUGAGGAAAUUGGAGUGUUUCAAGCAGGCAAUGCCUUUGAACACAGUAGCAUGGAAUAAUUAGAUUGGGCUUUUGCUCCAAUUUGUCGGUUUCUGGAGCUGAGGUGAGAAUUAAUGGGGAUUGUUGGGGGCAUCCGAAUUUAACCGUCAGAGGUGAAAUUCUUGGAUCGGCUAAAGACGGACAACUGCGAAAGCGUUUGCCCAGGAUGUUUUCAUUGA